rnacentral:rRNA from 1 species
CCAUGCAUGUCUAAGUAUAAAUAGUAUACAGUGAAACUGCGAAUGGCUCAUUAAAACAGUUAUAGUUUAUUUGAUGAUUUUUUACAUGGAUAACCGUGGUAAUUCUAGAGCUAAUACAUGCGGAUAGCCGAACUUCUGGGGAGGCUGUAUUUAUUAGAUACUAAACCAAUGUCGCAAGACAUUGUGGUGAAUCACAGUAACUGAUCGAAUCGGCGCGCAAGCGGCGAUAAAUCAUUCAAGUUUCUGCCCUAUCAGCUUUCGAUGGUAGUGUAUUGGACUACCAUGGCAGUCACGGGUAACGGAGAAUUAGGGUUCGGUUCCGGAGAGGGAGCCUGAGAAACGGCUACCACAUCUAAGGAAGGCAGCAGGCGCGUAAAUUACCCAAUCCUGACUCAGGGAGGUAGUGACAAGAAAUAACAACUCGGGGGCCUUCGGCUCAUCGGGAUUGCAAUGAGAACAAUACAGAUCACUUAGCGAGAAACAAUUGGAGGGCAAGUCUGGUGCCAGCAGCCGCGGUAAUUCCAGCUCCAAUAGCGUAUAUUAAAGUUGUUGCAGUUAAAAAGCUCGUAGUUGAAUGUCUGAUCAUCGUGCAUUUCGGCACUCGUCGUGUGCACGGUGGUCAUCCGCAUACAAACCUAGCUCGGCAUUUAGUUGUUGACUGGGGGAGUCUGCAAUUUACUUUGAAAAAAUUAGAGUGUUUCAGGCAGGCAAUGGCUUGAAUACAUUAGCAUGGAAUAAUGGAAUAGGACUGGAGUCAAUUUUAUUGGUUAUUUGACUUUAGUAAUGAUUAAUAGGGACAG